rnacentral:tRNA from 1 species
GGAGAUUUGGCUCAGUGGUAGAGCGCUUGCCUAGCAAGCGAAAGGCCCUGGGUUCGGUCCCCAGCUCCA